rnacentral:rRNA from 1 species
CACACAUUUGAAGUCUCGGAGCCGGGUGUUGGUUCCGGUAGCGAUCGAAGGAAAUUAGUACCGAAGUCCGGGAUGGAAGAUGGCGAGAAAAGCUGUGUGUAUUUCUGCGGUGCCCGUACCGCAAAACCGACACAGGUAGGUAGGAAGAAGAUUCUAAGGCCAACGGGAGAAGGGUUGUUAAGGAACUCGGCAAAUUGACCCCGUAACUUCGGGAGAAGGGGUGCUCUAGAGAUAGAGCCGCAGAGAAUCGGCCCAAGCAACUGUUUACCAAAAACACAGGUUUGUGCUAAAUCGAAAGAUGACGUAUACGAGCUGACGCCUGCCCGGUGCUGGAAGGUUAAGAGGAGAUGUGCAAGCAUUGAAUCGAAGCCCCAGUGAACGGCGGCCGUAACGAUAACGGUCCUAAGGUAGCGAAAUUCCUUGUCAGGUAAGUUCUGACCCGCAUGAAAGGCGUAAUGAUUUGGGCACUGUCUCGACAGCCCGCCCGGCGAAAUUGUAGUACCGGUGAAGAUGCCGGUUACCCGCGACAAGACGGAAAGACCCCAUGGAGCUUUACUGUAGCCUAAUAUUGGGUUUCGAUGUUGCAUGCACAGGAUAGAUGGGACACUGGGAAGCAAGUGCUUUGGCAUUUGUGGAGUGGCCGUUGGGAUACCAUCCUUGCGAUAUUGGAAUUCUAACCUGCGCCUUUGAAUCAAGGCGGGGGACAUUGUUAGGUGGGCAGUUUGACUGGGGCGGUCGCCUCCUAAAGAGUAACGGAGGCGUUCAAAGGUUCGCUCAGCUUGAACGGAAAUCAAGCAAAAGAGUGCAAACGCAGAAGCGAGCCUAACUGCGAGACUGACGGGUCGAGCAGUAACGAAAGUUGGAGUUAGUGAUCCGGUGGUAUGUGAGUGGAAAUGCCAUCGCUCAACGGAUAAAAGUUACCCUGGGGAUAACAGGCUGAUCUCCCCCAAGAGUCCACAUCGACGGGGAGGUUUGGCACCUCGAUGUCGGCUCAUCGCAUCCUGGGGCUGUAUUCGGUCCCAAGGGUUUGGCUGUCCGCCAAUUAAAGCGGUACGCGAGCUGGGUUCAGAACGUCGUGAGACAGUUCGGUCCCUAUCUGUCGUGGGCGCAGGAUAUUUGAUGGGAGCUGUUCCUAGUACGAGAGGACCGGAGCGGACGUACCUCUGGCGCACCAGUUGUUCUGCCAAGGGCAUAGCUGGGCAACUAUGUACGGAUCGGAUAAACGCUGAAAGCAUCUAAGCGUGAAGCCGACCCAAAGAUAAGAUAUCCCAUUGUUUCAAACAAGUAAGACCCCUUGAAGACUACAAGGUUGAUAGGCACGAUGUGUAAGUGGAGUGAUCCAUUCAGCAAGCGUGUACUAAUAGGUCGAGGGCUUGACC